ACACUUUUUUAUUCUUCGGUGUUAGACGAAACGCUUUAUUUUGCCGCUCGUGGUUACCGGUCACCGGUGAAUUGAAGGGCAUUUUGAUCAUUAUUCAUGGGCUUAAUGAGCACAGUGGAAGGUAUGGUCAAUUUGCUAAGCAGCUUACCUCAUGCAACUUUGGAGUCUAUGCAAUGGAUUGGAUAGGUCACGGUGGGAGGGAUGGAUUGCAU
rnacentral:misc_RNA from 1 species